CCUACGGGAGGCAGCAGUGGGGAAUAUUGGACAAUGGGCGAAAGCCUGAUCCAGCCAUGCCGCGUGUGUGAAGAAGGCCUUCGGGUUGUAAAGCACUUUCAGUGGGGAAGAAAGCCUUGGGGCUAAUACCCUCGAGGAAGGACAUCACCCACAGAAGAAGCACCGGCUAACUCCGUGCCAGCAGCCGCGGUAAUACGGAGGGUGCGAGCGUUAAUCGGAAUUACUGGGCGUAAAGCGCGCGUAGGCGGUCUGAUAAGCCGGUUGUGAAAGCCCCGGGCUCAACCUGGGAACGGCAUCCGGAACUGUCAGGCUAGAGUGCAGGAGAGGAAGGUAGAAUCCCCGGUGUAGCGGUGAAAUGCGUAGAGAUCGGGAGGAAUACCAGUGGCGAAGGCGGCCUUCUGGACUGACACUGACGCUGAGGUGCGAAAGCGUGGGUAGCAAACAGGACUAGAUACCCGAGUAGUC
rnacentral:rRNA from 1 species